GGUGCAAGCGUUAUCCGGAAUUACUGGGCGUAAAGCGUCCGCAGGCUGUUUGUUAAGUCAGAUGUUAAAUCUUGGAGCCCAACUUCAAGCCCACAUUUGAAACUAUCAAACUAGAGUACUUCAGAGGUGUGUAGAAUUCUGUGUGUAGGGGUUAAAUCCGUAGAUAUACAGAGGAAUACCAAAAGCGAAAGCAGCACACUGGGAAGUAACUGACGCUCAGGGACGAAAGCGUAGGUAGCGAACGGGAUUAGAUACCCCGGUAGUCUACGCCGUAAACGAUGGAUACUAGGUGUUGGAGGUCUCGACCCCUUCAGUGCCGAAGCUAACGCAUUAAGUAUCCCGCCUGGGAAGUACGAACGCAAGUUUAAAACUCAAAGGAAUAGACGGGGACCCACACAAGCGGUGGAGCACCUGGUUUAAUUCGACAAUAAGCGAGGAACCUUACCUGGACUUGACAUCCCGAGAAUUUCCUAGAAAUAGGAAAGUGCCUUCUGGAACUCGGUGACAGGUGCUGCAUGGUUGUCGUCAGCUCGUGCCUUGAGGUGUACGGUUAAGUCCGCUAACGAGCGCAACCCAUGUCUUAUGUUGUUUUUUCAUAAGAGACUGCCGAUUCAAAGUCGGAGGAAGGUAUGGACGACGUCAAAUCUGCAUGGCCCUUAUGUCCAGGGCUACACAGGUGCUACAAUGGCUAGUACAGAGGGUAGCAAUACUGCAAAGUGGAGCUAAUCCUUAAAGCUAGUCUAAGUUCGAAUUGGAGGCUGCAACUCGCCUCCAUGAAGUU
rnacentral:rRNA from 1 species